AUUGAACGCUGGCGGCAGGCCUAACACAUGCAAGUCGAACGAGUGGCGGACGGGUGAGUAAUGUCUGGGAAACUGCCUGAUGGAGGGGGAUAACUACUGGAAACGGUAGCUAAUACCGCAUACCAUCGGAUGUGCCCAGAUGGGAUUAGCUAGUAGGUGGGGUAAAGGCGUACCUAGGCGACGUUCCAUAGCGUGUCUGAGGGGAUGACCAGGCACACUGGAACUGAGACACAGUCCAGACUCCGACGGGAGGCAGCAGUGGGGAAUAUUGCACAAUGGGCGAAAGCCUGAUGCAGCCAUGCCGGGUGUAUGAAGAAGGCCUUCGGGUUGUAAAGUACUUUCAGCGGGGAGGCGUUACCCGCAGAAGAAGCACCGGCUAACUCCGUGCCAGCAGCCGCGGUAAUUC
rnacentral:rRNA from 1 species